CAAAUAAACUUGGGGAGCUCAUGUUAUGGGCUGAGAAAGGGCUCUAAGCACCGGACCCAUUGAACCUGAACGGGGUAAUGCCCGCGUAGGAAAGGCCUGUGUUCAUUUU
rnacentral:ncRNA from 2 species